rnacentral:rRNA from 1 species
GUAGGUGGCAAGCGUUGUCCGGAAUUAUUGGGCGUAAAGCGCGCGCAGGCGGUUCUCUAAGUCUGAUGUGAAAGCCCACGGCUCAACCGUGGAGGGUCAUUGGAAACUGGAGAACUUGAGUACAGAAGAGGAAAGCGGAAUUCCACGUGUAGCGGUGAAAUGCGUAGAGAUGUGGAGGAACACCAGUGGCGAAGGCGGCUUUCUGGUCUGUAACUGACGCUGAGGCGCGAAAGCGUGGGGAGCAAACAGGAUUAGAUACCCUGGUAGUCCACGCCGUAAGCGAUGAGUGCUAAGUGUUAGGGGGUUUCCGCCCCUUAGUGCUGCAGCUAACGCAUUAAGCACUCCGCCUGGGAGUACGGCCGCAAGGCUG